CCUAAACCACCUCACAGGGUUAUUUCAAGGAUAAAGAAGUGCACUGUAUAUGCCACACUUGAAAGUUCUCCGUCAACUCCAGAUAUUGUUGGGAGAAAGCUGUAUCUUUAAUACAAAGCAUGCAGAAAGAGAGAAUAACAAGCAAAGCUGUUUUGAUUGGCAAUGUUACAGUACAUCUCACAGAUUGCAAGAUAGAACAAAAACCUGUGAAACUGAACCUGUGAAAAAGAAGGGAAUUUAUGGCAUGUAUCAAUUUAAAAAGAAAAAAAACUUUGCCUGAG
rnacentral:lncRNA from 11 species